ACGGAGGAUGCAAGCGUUAUCCGGAUUCAUUGGGCUUAAAGGGUGCGCAGGCGGAAUGCUAAGUCAGUGGUGAAAUCUAACGGCUUAACCGGGAAACUGCCAUUGAUACUGUCAUACUUGAGUACAGGUGAAGUGGGUGGAAUGUGUCAUGUAGCGGUGAAAUGCUUAGAUAUUACACAGAACACCGAUAGCGAAGGCAGCUUACUGAGCUGUAACUGACGCUCAUGCACGAAAGCGUGGGGAUCAAACAG
rnacentral:rRNA from 1 species